AAACCGUCCGAAAGGACAACUUUCAUCGAACUUUGACCUCAAAUCAGGUGGGACUACC
rnacentral:rRNA from 1 species